rnacentral:rRNA from 1 species
GACGAACGCUGGCGGCGUGCCUAAUACAUGCAAGUUGAGCGAUGAAGAUUGGUGCUUGCACCAAUUUGAAGAGCAGCGAACGGGUGAGUAACGCGUGGGGAAUCUGCCUUUGAGCGGGGGACAACAUUUGGAAACGAAUGCUAAUACCGCAUAACAACUUUAAACAUAAGUUUUAAGUUUGAAAGAUGCAAUUGCAUCACUCAAAGAUGAUCCCGCGUUGUAUUAGCUAGUUGGUGAGGUAAAGGCUCACCAAGGCGAUGAUACAUAGCCGACCUGAGAGGGGGAUCGGCCACAUUGGGACUGGGACACGGCCCAACCUCCUACGGGGGGCAGCAGUAGGGAAUCUUCGGCAAUGGCCGAAAGGCUGACCGAGCAACGCCGCGGGAGUGAAGAAGGGUGUCGGAUCGUAAAGAUCUGUUGGUAGAGAAGAACGUUGGUGAGAGUGGAAAGCUCAUCAAGUGACGGUAACUACCCAGAAAGGGACGGCUAACUACGUG